rnacentral:tRNA from 1 species
AGGGGCGUAGCUCAACCUGGUAGAGCACCGGUCUCCAAAACCGGUGGUUGGGGGUUCGAGUCCCUCCGCCCCUG